AAAUUAAUGGCAUUUGCAAAUUAAUUCACAUGGAAUACAAAAUUAUAAUAAUUUUAUUCUUAUUAUUUCAUGGUUGUUUAUAUGUGGAUAGUAGCUACUCAGGAGAAUGUCGGGAUGACAGGAGUAAUAGAAAUAGCACAGUAUUUUUACGAGGUUAUUGCUACCUCUUUGGAAAAUGCAUACCAAUAUUUUGUGAGUGUGGAAGAGACAUCAGAGAACUCACCUGAUUGUGCUGUGUUUUCUCAUCUUGCAUCUUCAUGAUAGGUAUAAGGCCAUUUUCACUCUGUUGGCGUUUUUGUUCAACUUCAUGCACCAAUGUGUAAAGAGCAUUUAAACGAUCUUGCACUUGCUGUGCGGCUUGUGCAUCUGAUGAAAAUGCCAUUUUGAAAUUUAAUUUCAAUUAUUCAAACAAGAUUUAUUGAAAAAUCGCGACAAGACUAUUGCAUGAUACCAAGAUGACACCACAAUCAAUAACAAUAUCUGUAAAUUGAUGUUAAGAGCAUAUUAAAUCAAAUAAAUUGAUUAUAUUAGUGCA